rnacentral:rRNA from 1 species
GACGAACGCUGGCGGCGUGCUUAACACAUGCAAGUCGAACGGAAAGGCCCUGCUUUUGUGGGGUGCUCGAGUGGCGAACGGGUGAGUAACACGUGAGUAACCUGCCCUUGACUUUGGGAUAACUUCAGGAAACUGGGGCUAAUACCGGAUAGGAGCUCCUGCUGCAUGGUGGGGGUUGGAAGGUUUCGGCGGUUGGGGAUGGACUCGCGGCUUAUCAGCUUGUUGGUGGGGUAGUGGCUUACCAAGGCUUUGACGGGUAGCCGGCCUGAGAGGGUGUCCGGCCACAUUGGGACUGAGAUACGGCCCAGACUCCUACGGGAGGCAGCAGUGGGGAAUAUUGCACAAUGGGCGGAAGCCUGAUGCAGCAACGCCGCGUGCGGGAUGACGGCCUUCGGGUUGUAAACCGCUUUCGCCUGUGACGAAGCGUGAGUGACGGUAAUGGGUAAAGAAGCACCGGCUAACUACGUG